UACGUAGGUGACAAGCGUUGUCCGGAUUUACUGGGCGUAAAGAGCGCGCAGGCGGUCGUUCAAGUCGAGUGUGAAAGCCCCCGGCUCAACUGGGGAGGGUCAUUCGAUACUGAUCGACUCGAAGGCAGGAGAGGGUAGUGGAAUUCCCGGUGUAGUGGUGAAAUGCGCAGAUAUCAGGAAGAACACCCGUGGCGAAGGCGGCUCUCUGGAACGCAACUGACGCUGAGACGCGAAAGCGUGGGGAGCAAACAGG
rnacentral:rRNA from 1 species